rnacentral:lncRNA from 1 species
GGCCUGUUUGAGCAGGCAUUGCAAAUCUUAAAAACAAUAAGAUGAAUAAUCAUCACUGUUUGAUCACUGCCAUUUAUUGAGUACCUUCUCCAUGGCAGAUGCUAAGAUAAGACCUAACAUGCAUCAUCUCUGAUUUUACAAGUCUUCGAGGUUGCAGCCAUGAAAAUGCCCUGGUCAGCCAUGAUUGACCAUGACAGGGGUACUAGUGCAGGCCUGUUCCUGCUGGACAUGGAACCCCUCUAAUGGCUUAAGGACUCCCACUGGCUGGCAGAAACUUUCUUAGAACAACACUGUAGUCUAAGACUCUUCCUACUGAAUUCUCUUUCCUUCUCCCUCUCCUUUCAUGGGGGUCAGGCCUGCACUGCAGUCUGGGGCUUCCUCUGCCUACUUCAGUUCCUUCCUGAACAUUUUACAGGUGUUUCCCCCAAUAAUUCUCUUAUAUGCCUAAUCCCAUCUUGGUGCCUGCAUCUCGAAGGAACUAACACAGUGGACAGGAGUCCCAUUUUGCAGACAGACACUGGAUCAAUGAUGAAGUUACUUGUGUAAGUCCUACAGCCAACAAAUGUUAAGAGCUGGGGUUGUGUGCAGGUAUGUUUGAUUCCACAAGCCAAGUCUUAGAAGCAUACUAGGCUUCCUCUCUAAUGAUCUAUGCAGGCUUAACUGUGAGGACAGGGAGUGAUGACACAUUUCAGUUUGGCCCCUUUGUUUUGUCGAUGAGAAACCUGAGACCAGUGAGGGAAAGGAUUCGCCCAUGGGUGCCAGUGGGAGGGGUGCACCUGGGCUGUGCACAGCCAUUUCCCUCCUUUGGAGGCUGAGGGAGGAGGUCACAGGGAGGCCUCAGGGUAUGGAGGGAGGUCAGGCUGGGGGGCUUAGUGUCUGACCCACCAGCCUGGCAGGCGGGAAUGUGCCUGUAGAAGCCCACGGCCCUCUUGGGGAGAAGCCAUGAAGUGAGGACUGAGUGCUGCCUGGAGGUGCUGGCUGGGAUGCACAGGGAAGAGCUGUCAGGGUAUGGGUCUAACACUGGAACAGCUGGGGGACAUUCCCUGGAUAUCCCUGCAUUGCCUUGAGGCUCUCCCAUCCCUGUUUGAUCCGUAAGCUCCAAGGAGACAUGUUUCCCAGCCAUAAUGCCUUCUGAUCCCAAUCUCUUCUACUCUUUUCAUUGGCAAGAGUCAUUCUCACCCGGGUUUUCUUAUAUAAUAAUUAUAAACUCAUUCAGGGCCUGUGAGUGAAAAGGCACACAUAUACAUUCAGGUCUAAUAUUCACUGAGCAACCAUCAGCACAAUGGUAUGUGACCUCUUUGAAUGCUGCACUAAUGCUCCACUGUCUAGAAGGAGGCCAGACUGCUCUGGGGACCAGGUGCAGAGGGUGCCCUCAAGUGUCUAGUGUCAGAGAGAGAGGGGCUACUCCACUUUGGCCAGGGUGAACUUGAGUUGGUGAUGACAAACAUCUGCAGCUAGUCUAUUUUUCUAAUCUCACCCUCCAAACAGCCCCAUCUUCUUGCAGGGAGGAUGGGUGAAGGCAUUUUCAAAAAUGGACAUCACAUGUGACAAACAGGCAAAGGACCCUGACAGAGCCACAAAACUGACACGCUCAUGAAAACUCAGACCGCUGACAAUGGUGAGCGCCGACCAAUUCAGCGCCAGGCGUGGAGGCUUCUGGCAAGAGUGGUGGGCUCUGUGCGUCCUGAUGGUGGCAGCAGAGACCAGCUUGGGAGCCACCUGGCUCCUCUGCCCUAGCCCAUUAUGGCCUGAAUCCAAUCAAUUUCAGUUCUCAGCACUUCUGAAAACGUGCGUGGCUUAGAGUGUCUGGCAGGGCUCAGGAGAGAAAAGCAUUUCUCAGCCCCGGGACACAUAUAUGCCUCCAGGCACUGGUUGUGGCUUGCAAUCUGGGAGGGCAGGUGAACGGACACCCUCCCUCCUUGCACAGGCCUGGGAUCUGCCUUACUCAACUCCCACUUCUACCAGGAGCAGAGGAUCACCGCUGCCCAGCACCCCGCCCAUCUGAAUUCUGACUCUGGUGGCUUCAGAGAAGCAAGGUAGGGGCCAGUGCUGGUAUGAAAUGCCAGAUGAGAGGAAACUGAUGCAUGCACUUUACUCCUGACUCAGAGUGCCUGAAAUAUCUGGCAAACUGGCAAAGGAUGAAACCCUUCUUUGAGGUCUGUAGAGUAGCUUUAAGAUAAAUGAAGCCACUGAGAAGGUCCAAAACAAGGGGCCCUUAGACGUGGAAGAGGUCUGCUUUCCUGAUAACUAGAGUGGUGCUGGGCUAUGAAAACAGUCCAAAUAGAUGAGGAUAGUUCCUGAGAGCACAGGGUUCUGAAGCUGGACAAAUAUUCUUCCACCUUAAUGGCCCUCUCACUGGAGCCUUCACAGGGUUAACGAUGGUCCCGCAGGAGUUGGGGCCAUGACUGAGGACAUGGAGCUGAUGUGGAGGCAGUCAGGGCCAAGGCAAGAGCCUCCUUGUGUAUAGUGGAAACGCAAGACAGACAUCAAAGGGAGUGGGGUGUGCGGUUCCCAAGGGGCUACCAGAGUCCACUUUUAUUAAAAGUUUGUGUCUUUCUUUAGAAAGUAAUAUGUUCCAUCUCCAGCACCUGAAGGCUCCUUUCAGGGUGCCAGAAGAAUCCUCAAGGGACAGUCCCAGGCUGUGUCCUUCCUCCUGUCUUGGCUGACAUUUUUAUGCAUGGUUUAGGCAGCCCAUGGGCUUUCCAGCUUUGCAAUAAGAUCUGAUCUAAUUUCAAGCUUAUACAUAACAGAAGGGCUGGGGGAGAAGUAGGAGUUCUUUUAGAAUUGCAAAAUCCAGGUGGGUGUAGCCUGUGGGGUGCAGGCUAUCCAGCUCAAAGAGGGAGGCCCAUAUCUCAGAUUCCCUAAUGCUCGGCACAGUGUCUGGCACACAAUGGGCACACAGGAAAUCCUGCACUGAAUCAAACAGAUUUUGUAUUACCAGAUCUAGGCUGACUCACUGUGUGGUCAGGACCUUGGGUCAAUCACUUCACCUGGUGACUCACUCCCUACCUGUAAGGUGUGGAGGACAGCUGGAGUCACUGUGGCACCUGUGUGUUUAGCAGUGUGUUUGCUUGUUCCUGCUUUUAUGUCUCUGGCUGGUCUAAGAUGGAAUGAUAAAAAAAUAACGGAAUGCACUUUGUAAACGAGAGCAUCCUAGACACAUGUAAAGAUUGGAAAAUUAGAAAGCUGUCUCUACUGUAGUUACUUCUCAGAUAUGACCAACCAUUAUUAAGAAUUCAUUGGCUAAUAGGGCUACAUUUUCUCAUGAUCAUUCUUCUGUUUUAGAAGUGGGCAACUGCAGUUUUAAGAAUAAAUGUGUAAAUGUGUGUUUUCAUGAGAGACAAUAAAGCUGUUUUCAUUAAGAAUGAAAUAUGCAACUUGCAAACACUUUUACUUUUCUUGAAUUGGGUCCUUCAGCAGAAGCAGUUUGCCCAGCCCUGACAUGGAAAGUUUACUUUGCUCAUCAACCUGAAGGAGACCGAAAGCUAUGAGAGGCGGCUCCUGAAAAGAAUCUAGACUCCGGAUAUAAAAAGAUCUUGCAACACAAGGCCAAGUGGAAAUCAUGGUUCGCAUUAAAGGCAUAAACCUCCUGCACUAACAACCCAGAGCAGGAGGAAAAGCUGGGAGACCUGGCUCAGCAGCCUUCCCUGAGGGAAGCCUUCGGGGCUUUGUUCCUCUUGAGAUCAGGGCAAGCCUAUGUAUGACCUGAAGCCAAUACAACCAGCAGAGCUGAUGCCAGUGCUGGCUGCCUGAGUGCUACUAAAGAAAGAGUCCACCAUCGGCUCCCUCUUCCGUAGCCAGACACAGGUGGAAUGCUGUGCUUCCUUUUGGGAGACAAAGCAGAAGCUACCCCAGAGGGGGCAGAUGGGAGACAGGCCCAGGCAAUGCAGCCCUACAAAGAAGACUUGAAGGGCCGGGGCUGAGCAGCUUGGAUGAAGAGAAGGCUGCCUUUCAGAGCUGUUUCAAAUGUUUCAGACGUUGCUAGACAAACUAGAGUUGUAUGGCUUCAGAUGGCACAGCUUAGGGCCAUAGAGUGGGAAUCACAAGAAGGCAAACUUUAGGCCCCCAGGAGAGCUGGACAACAACCUGGAGGGUCAGAGGAGAAUGGGCUGUCCAAGGAGCGGGGAUAUGAGGGUGGGGCAGUGUGGCCAUCCCUGGAAGGGGUAAGGGAGUGGCAGAUGGUAACCAUUUGGGGUGGGGUGUGGCUGAGGAUUCCUGCAAGGCUAUCAGAGAAACUCUAAGAAUCAUAAGAAUCAAAGCUCAAGUACAUGAGGGAAGACAUAAUGAAAUCCCUAAAGUUCUGAGAGGUUGUACCAGAUUCUUUAUGGAGAAUACAGAGAGAAUGCCUCCUGACUCCUCAUUCACAGAGUGCCAGGCAGCAGCAAGGAGAAGCUGGUGGCCUUGGGAGGGCAAAAACUAAGGACAAGGUCCACAAUGCAAUCAGCUCACAUCACCUACGAACAAAUAAAGUGGGGUGGGGGUGGAGAGUUGCUAGAGUUUACGUAACUCUCAAGCCUUAAUUUAGCUGCAAGAACUAGGUUUUUGCCAAAGCUAUAGAACUUCCCACCAGAUGAAAGCUUUAUCUCUUUUUCUUUCUUAGGAGAAGAGAGACAGAAGGAGAGAAGAGGGGCAGGAGGAGAGAAAACACAAGAAAGAGGAUGGAAGAUAAAGAGGAAGGCCAGAGUGAGGCAGGAGAAAGCUGAGCUGGAACCUAACUCCUGUUGAUCUGCUGCAGAGACCCUCUCAUUCCACAAUUGCUCCCGCCAUGGUAAGCUCCAUUCCUAAUUACCUAGGCAAACUGGCCUGCAUUUCUCUCCAGAGUUCUAAAGGAUGGUGUGAGAGUGUCUGCCAAGAUUUGGAUUUUACAGAGACAAGUCUCAGCUUUUGCUUUCUGGUUCAAGGUUUAUGCUUUUGGAAGGCUGUGAUGACAGCAGCAGGAAAUAGGACAAAUAGGAGUUUUUGUUAGGGGGGCAGCUAAUAGAACAGCCUCAUGAAGGACCUAGGCACACCCUAGAGAUGCAAGGGACAGGCCUGCAGUGGUGGCUCCUAUAAACCCAGUGCACUGAAUCCCCAGAGCUUGCAGCCCAUGGCUUGGGGUCUGGUCCAGUGCACUCGUCAGAGAGCAUAACAGGACCUUUGGGACUCCUAGGGAACCUCUUGGAGAGUCCUGGGACCUGCCUAAAGUACCUGACUUGAGCACACCAGCAUCUGUGUACCCUUAGCUUCAAAUUCUCCAAAGCCAGAAAAGGAAAAAGACACAAUGUCCUGGCCUGAUCAUGCCUGAGAAUCACUUACCUAAAAAGAACAUUGGGGCUUUUGACCUGACAUCCUCCCAGGCAUGCUGACAUCUCUCAGCACUUUCUCUCCCCUCACAAAAGAACUUGUUGAGGAGGAAGGAGAAGAGGCAGCGGCUAGUGGUUAGCAGAGACAGUGGCCAAGUGUCCAGGAAGAGGGGAUGGGCAGGCCUACCUGAGGAAGGGCUGAUGUCUAAGGAGGGGGUCUGCUCCCUCUGGCACACAGCCUGCCUGCUCCUGAGACCCUGUGGCUUCUCCUGGAGCACUGUGCAAAGCUGCUUGGUAUUCUCACUUGGUUCUGUUGGAUGGCUGCAAAGCUGUCUGGCCCUGCUCUCCUCAGUUGCCAAAGGUUCACUGCCGGCUCCAGUUUGCCUGGAACGAAACAGCUCAGGCAACACAGCUGUGCAUCCUUGUGAGACUGCCUAAUUUCCCAUUUCAAGGCAGGAUGCCAUACCCCAAGGUGUAAUUUGAGUUUUGGGCAUAAGCUGAAUUUUGCAACUGAAUUCUGAAACUCAGCCCUCCAGGCUGUGCGUGCUUGGGAAUUAAAAAGCUUUCUUCUCCUUUUCCCUCCUCCACUAUCUACCACCCUCCCCAAUAUCAAUACUGAUACCAUCAUUAAUGUUAAAUUUCUAUUUAUUGAGUGUCUACUAUGUGCUAGGCACUUGUAUGGCUGCACCUGACAGCAAUGGCUUACCUUAAGCCUAUCCUGAGAAUGACACUAUGGUCUAAGAAGAAUGUGUGCUUGGAAUUCCAAGCUAAGAAAUCUGGAAGUGGCCGAUCUGGAGAUUCAUUCCUUACUUAUGGGAAACAUCUAAACCUCUGGCCCAUUUCAUGGAAUGCAGGCUGUACAGGGGACUGAAGCCCUUUGUUUUGGGUUAAAUGAAAGUUGACAGGUGGAGGUUGUUAGGGGGAGGGCGCUAAGUGAAAAUGCUAUAUCAACUGCAUGCUUUUUACCAGCAGAUGCAGUUCUAUCCAGCUCAUCACCACUGGACUCCUCUGUAUGUGAGUCCCCUCAAUAAACCUGAUGUCUCAUUUGCUGGCUGCAGGUCUCUUUUUCAGCCUGUUGAACAUGGUACCAUCACUACUGAAGUCAACAAGGGUCCAGCAUGACAACACUGUACUAAUCAAUUUCCCUGUAUCAUCUUAAUCUUCACAAAACCCUAUGAGGUAGAAAAGGACAAAUCUUAACCCAUGUCCUAUGUGAUUAUAAGGGUACUCACCCUCCACCUUUUAAUUAUUCUCUUUUGGGCUACAAAUCUGUGGAUCUGCAUACCUGAAUGAUUCACUGUGGCUUUCUGGUAGAAAAACUAAUAACACCAUUUGUCCAUGUCAAGCCAAGGAGACAAGCUCAACAUACAAAGAACAAGGAGAGAACAAUGGAAGAUGGCCUAUAAUUCAGAAGCACAUUGGGUGGAGCAUAUUGCACAUGUAGAAGCUUGUCACGGAACCCAAGAAAGCUGGAGGAACCUGGGAAGGCUUCCUGGAAGAAGGGAAAGCUGAGUUCUCUUAUCACCACUCCACCAUUUGUUCAUGUCCUCAUGUACAUAUUCAACAAACAUUUAUUGAGGGCUGAGUGUGGCUUUGUGUAUCCCAGAUAAACUAGUAUCCUGAUCUUAGCCAUGGAUCUCAGCUGCUACUAUCUCAUUCCCCACCAUGGGCAAUAAGAUGCAUACUGGUAGGGAAAAUUCUGGCAAAUUUUGUAAAGUUUAUCCAUAGGCAUAAACACUUUACCCUGUGUUAUGCUCAGAAGAGGAACACACAUUUAUUAAGCACCUACCACAUCUGCAAAUAACUUUACUCCCAAAAACUGAUUUGAUACUUAAGCAGCUUUUGUAAGGUGUGUUUCAUUCCCUAAAACUAAAGUUCAGAGAGGUUAAAAGAUUUAUCCAAGGUCACACAUUCAAGGUGGAGCCAAGAUGCACAACUAAGUCUAUUACUGUUUUUUUCAUACUCCCCCACUUCUCUGUCUCCCUCUUUCUAUUCUCAGCUGCAGACUCUGCCAGCUGCAAACUUCUUUAGUAGUUAUUCCUGAUUACUUCUGCUCCUGGUGAGCUCAUCACCUGAUUAAAGGGCUCCUAGCUUCACCAGACCUUGGAGAUGACAAACAGAUGACCCUGGAGAGGCAGGCUCUCUAGGGCUGUUCCAUUUUGGUCUGGCCCCCAUUCCAGCCGGGGAUAUAGUUCAAACCCUGACUCUGAGUUGAGCCCAAGAAAAUAAGACCAAGAUGAAAGCUUAAGUGCAUCCCCUGAAAGGCUCUUAUCUCCAGGCUAAGCUUGGAAGUGGGGAGACAGAGCACCACAACCCAACUUGGGGAUGUUGUCUCUUGUAGAAACACCUUCCUCAGUAACAGAAGGGUAGCUGCCCCUAUGUCCUAGAGAGCGGGAGUAAGAGAAAGUGGCUCCUUGCCUCUGAGAUUUGCUUAGCUGAUCCUCCCUCACCCCAACCAUAGCUCUUAACAAACCCAGGUACGCAUAAAUAUAAAUACCACCCUAUGUGUAUUUCCUGUGCCCUCCCUUUUCUCUUUCCUGAGGAGUUAUGGAGAGAAAAUAAAUGCCAGAAUUACAGAAAACUAGGUAUAAAUCUACUCACUAGCUUUAUGGCCUUGCAUCUAUUUCCCAUAUAAGCUGGCAGGGUUGGGAUUCUGUCUAGCUCUUUCCAUUUAUCAUGAUGUCCUCUUUUUGGUUCUUUUAGAUUUUGCAUCGGGUUGAUGUAGUGGAUGCUGUAGUCCACUACCCAGAUUCCUUCCCCAACCCACAACAAUGAGGUUCUCAUUCCGGAGCUGCUAGGAGGGAUGCCAGAUAAUAGCACACAGCUGAACUUCUCUUCAGCUAUUGCCCUCAGAUUAAGAAAGCUGCCUUGCUCAAGGUUACACGCCUUUCCUGGGAAACCAGUAUCCAAUGACUGGUUCCUGUAAAAGGAAUGGAGCUGCCUUAAAAGAGCUGCCUUGCUUCAAUUUGGGAAGACUAUGAAGAGCCAUCCCAGCUCUGGAGUUCUCCGUAGGGUUGGGUUUUUGAGACUAUGCAGAAGUUAUUCCAUGAGUUCCAAGCCCAGGUCAUGAAAGAUAACUUGUAAUAAAUCUGGCUACCCUGAAGCUGCCAUGCUUGAGAGACCACACGAGAUGGAGAGAGAUGCUUAGGAGUCCCAGCUGUCCAAGCCUCCAGCUAUGUGAAUCUUCCCAGCAGCAACUGCCAGACAUGUGGUACACCCAAAAUGACUUUGGGGCUACACUUGGAAUUGGCAAGGUUCCAGAAAACAGAGGGACUAUCAUCAGAGACAGCGCACAAAAAGUGGGAGAAAGGUCACCAGCCUCACUCAUGUUUAGGGCUAUUAUGAAUAAAGCUGCUAUGAACACUUGUUUACAAGUUCUUUGUGAGGACACAUGUUUUCAUUUAUCUUGGGAAAAUACCUAGAGAUGGAACUCUGGGACACAUGGUAAUAAAGUAUAUUGGCAUAAUGCAAGAGUCAAGAUGCAGAAAAUAACUACUGUGUGAUGUCUCUCUCCCAGCUUUAACCCGCCUGAAGGGCAGCACUGAGUUCAACACACUGUCCCACAAUUGUUGCACUCUCACACUGAAGUGAACAGAUUCUUUCUCCGUGCCGUGCAGCUCCCGGCAGAGGAUGAGGGAAGGGUACCAUCGGUGAUUCAGCACUGUGUUUCCUAUCCUCUUCAAUGACUCUUUCAGCGAUAUGAAGGUAAAACCAGGUGAAUGGAGCACAUGGCUAUGCUUUGUUUUAAAUGAAAGUCUUUGUCAUCCAGCGGAGGACUUUAAUUCAUUUACAUUUAUUGACAUAAAUGUUGGUAGGUCUUAUUUCUCUCAUCUUGCUUUACAAUUUCUAUUUUACUGCUUGUAUUGCUUUUAUUUUGAUGCUUCCUUAUUUCUUCAUCUUUAAAGUAUAUGUACUGCUAUUUUCCUACCAUAAUUACAUUUCUCUAAUUACAAAUAUGAAACUCUGAAUCUCUUCCUUACCAAUCCUAUGUAAAAUAAGAAAUUUAUCAAGCUGGUGGGCUUGAUAAAGGGCUUACCCAUUCCUGUUUCUAAACAAACAAUUAUGCUUAUUUAAACAAUCUGUUCCAAACAACUACCAGCAAAAAUGUGAACUGUUCUUCAUUAGUCUACUAAUUGAAUUUUCUAACUAUCCUGAUGCCAGGAACACCAUGUAUCAGUUAUGCCUAAAAUGUCAUUUAAAAAUAAAAUUGCUUGAGGACAAAUCAGAAAUUAGCAUCUUUAACUAUUUAACUAUUUAAUUACUUUAAGGGCUCCUGGUCAUAGUUUCCACAUUCUACUUCCUUCUCUGUUACAGACUUGAAAGCGUGUGUCAGAUCCCUUCACUAUAUCUUCAGACCUGCCCCAAGGAGUGAGGAAGGGCAACACCAAGAACUUCUCUCCAAGGACCAUAACCUGCGAACCCCAUCUCACCUCCUCCUGCCAGAUGGACACAGUCAUUGUCCUCCUGGCUGAUCCCAUGUCCAUGUCUUGCUCUGGCUACUUUCAUACACCCAUAAUGACAUUUUCCAUCUACUCAAUUUUUUAAAAGCUCAGCUCGAACCUCACGGAUUUUCCUGACAAUCUGCUUCUCUCAAUGGCCUUAAUUUAAGUGAGGGUUGUCAGUCUUACUGGGUCUCGUUUUUUGUCUUAAAUAAUAACUAUUUAUGGGUAUCAAGUGUCUCCUCAAUUUGGCUAUGAUCCUUCACGGCAGAAAUACUGUCUUAUCUUGUGAUCAUGGAGUCACAAGAUUUCAUGGCUAGGAAUAUUCGUCAAAUUAAUCCUAGAUUGAGGAUCAGGUAGUAUGUGGUCUGAUUCUAACUCAACAACUUGCAGAAACUCACUUCUUUUUUCUUUUUUUUUCCCCAGGAGGAGCUAUCGUAUUAACUGACGAAACUCACUUCAUUUCUUUGGACCUGCAAAAUGAGGAUGGGCUCUAAACCACCUCUAAAGUUAAUAUUCUAUGAUUCCAUGAUAAGGCUAUUUGUCAUUUAUAAAAAAAGGAACUUCCACAUAGCCCAGAGAAAGGAAAUGACUUUUUCAAGUUUACAGAGUCAAUUAAUGGACGAAAUGUAAUUUGAAAUUCAAUCUCCUGAUCCCCAGUCUAUUGGGAGUUCUUUCAGAAUGUCCCUUGACUGUCCCUCAAAGUGCCAGCAUGUAUGAAACCUUGUUAAGGAUGUAUGCUCAAUGAAAAUACACAAAUUGACUUAACAAGAAACUAAACUCUCCAGAAAGAUGCAGUUGACCCAAAACUCUGAAUAUCUUUUAUGUUUAAAACUUUCUUUUUUGAACAAAAUUGUACAGUUACUUCUCUAUUUCAACUCUUAAGCCUUUUAUGCCACGUCAAAGGUUAGCUCUCUUUUCUCUCUGUUAAUAAAGUCUUAUUCUUGACUUUGGAACUGUAUGCCAA